rnacentral:rRNA from 1 species
AUUGAACGCUGGCGGCAUGCUUUACACAUGCAAGUCGAACGGUAACAGGUCUUCGGAUGCUGACGAGUGGCGAACGGGUGAGUAAUACAUCGGAACGUGCCUAGUAGUGGGGGAUAACUUCUCGAAAGAGUAGCUAAUACCGCAUGAGAUCUACGGAUGAAAGCAGGGGACCUUCGGGCCUUGUGCUACUAGAGCGGCUGAUGGCAGAUUAGGUAGUUGGUGGGGUAAAGGCUUACCAAGCCUGCGAUCUGUAGCUGGUCUGAGAGGACGACCAGCCACACUGGGACUGAGACACGGCCCAGACUCCUACGGGAGGCAGCAGUGGGGAAUUUUGGACAAUGGGCGAAAGCCUGAUCCAGCAAUGCCGCGUGCAGGAUGAAGGCCCUCGGGUUGUAAACUGCUUUUGUACGGAACGAAAAGCCUGGGGCUAAUAUCCCCGGGUCAUGACGGUACCGUAAGAAUAAGCACCGGCUAACUACGUG